rnacentral:rRNA from 1 species
UACGUAGGGUGCAAGCGUUAAUCGGAAUUACUGGGCGUAAAGCGUGCGCAGGCGGCUUUGCAAGACAGAUGUGAAAUCCCCGGGCUUAACCUGAGAACUGCAUUUGUGACUGCAUGGCUAGAGUGCGGCAGAGGGGGAUGGAAUUCCGCGUGUAGCAGUGAAAUGCGUAGAUAUGCGGAGGAACACCGAUGGCGAAGGCAAUCCCCUGGGCCUGCACUGACGCUCAUGCACGAAAGCGUGGGGAGCAAACAGG